rnacentral:rRNA from 1 species
CGUGAAAUUGUUGAAAGGGAAGCGGUUAUGACCAGACUUGGACUUGGUUAAUCAUCUGGGGUUCUCCCCAGUGCACUUUUCCAGUUCAGGCCAGCGUCAGUUUUCCCCGGGGGAUAAAGGCGGCGGGAAUGUGGCUCUCUUCGGGGAGUGUUAUAGCCCGCCGUGUAAUACCCUGGGGGGGACUGAGGUUCGCGCAUCUGCAAGGAUGCUGGCGUAAUGGUCAUCAACGACCCGUCUUGAAACACGG